GGGGAUGCAGCUCAAUGAGAGAGUGUGUGCCUAGUGUGCAUGAGGCCCUGGGUUCAAUCCCCAGUACCACA
rnacentral:tRNA from 1 species